rnacentral:piRNA from 1 species
UCAAUGAUGUUGUCAAAGAGAUGGAC